UUAAUUUAAGAAAGUGGGAGGAGAUGAAGAGACUACCCUAAGAAGAAAUUAAAAGUUAAGAGUUGAAAAGAUCUAACCAAUGGGAUGCAAUCCAACAGACAAGAAUGUCAUAUAGAAACCCAUUUUCCCUUGGACUUUGACAAGCAAUAAGCAAUAAGCAAUAAGCAACAUCCAAGAAUUAUAUGAAGAUCAAGGCAUUAAAUAAAUAUAACCAUAAUAUCCAAGCAUGCCAUCCAAUAGCUAGAAGUCUUCAAUAUAUUCCCGUGUAGCAGAUGAAAAU
rnacentral:lncRNA from 1 species